GGGGGUAUAGCUCAGCUGGUAGAGCAUCUGCUUUGCAAGCAGAAGGUCACCGGUUCGAACCCGGUUGCCUCCACCA
rnacentral:tRNA from 1 species